rnacentral:rRNA from 1 species
AACGGACGCUGGCGGCAGGCUUAACACAUGCAAGUCGAGCGCUCCGCAAGGGGAGCGGCAGACGGGUGAGUAACGCGUGGGAAUCUACCCAUCUCUACGGAAUAACGCAUGGAAACGUGUGCUAAUACCGUAUACGUCCUUCGGGAGAAAGAUUUAUCGGAGAUGGAUGAGCCCGCGUUGGAUUAGCUAGUUGGUGGGGUAAAGGCCUACCAAGGCGACGAUCCAUAGCUGGUCUGAGAGGAUGAUCAGCCACACUGGGACUGAGACACGGCCCAGACUCCUACGGGAGGCAGCAGUGGGGAAUAUUGGACAAUGGGCGCAAGCCUGAUCCAGCCAUGCCGCGUGAGUGAUGAAGGCCCUAGGGUUGUAAAGCUCUUUCACCGGUGAAGAUAAUGACGGUAACCGGAGAAGAAGCCCCGGCUAACUUCGUGCCAGCCGCCGCGGUAAUAC